rnacentral:rRNA from 1 species
CAGUCGCCGCGGUAAUGCGUAGGUGGCAAGCGUUGUCCGGAAUUAUUGGGCGUAAAGGGCUCGCAGGCGGUUUCUUAAGUCUGAUGUGAAAGCCCCCGGCUCAACCGGGGAGGGUCAUUGGAAACUGGGAAACUUGAGUGCAGAAGAGGAGAGUGGAAUUCCACGUGUAGCGGUGAAAUGCGUAGAGAUGUGGAGGAACACCAGUGGCGAAGGCGACUCUCUGGUCUGUAACUGACGCUGAGGAGCGAAAGCGUGGGGAGCGAACAGGAUUAGAUACCCCGGUAGUCCCUGUCUCUUAUAC